rnacentral:rRNA from 1 species
ACUCCUAGGGAGGCAGCAGUGGGGAAGUAUUGCACAAUGGGCGCAAGCCUGAUGCAGCCAUGCCGCGUGUAUGAAGAAGGCCUUCGGGUUGUAAAGUACUUUCAGCAGUGAGGAAGGUGGGUAUGUUAAUAGCAUAUUCAUUUGACGUUAGCUGCAGAAGAAGCACCGGCUAACUCCGUGCCAGCAGCCGCGGUAAUACGGAGGGUGCGAGCGUUAAUCGGAAUUACUGGGCGUAAAGCGCAUGCAGGUGGUUUGUUAAGUCAGAUGUGAAAGCCCGGGGCUCAACCUCGGAAUUGCAUUUGAAACUGGCAAACUAGAGUACUGUAGAGGGGGGUAGAAUUUCAGGUGUAGCGGUGAAAUGCGUAGAGAUCUGAAGGAAUACCGGUGGCGAAGGCGGCCCCCUGGACAGAUACUGACACUCAGAUGCGAAAGCGUGGGGAGCAAACAGGAUUAUAUACCCUGGUAGGCCCAGC